UUAUCUUGGUGUAAGAGAGCACAUAAAUUUUUGGUGUUUAAGGUCGAGUGAGAUAAC
rnacentral:tRNA from 1 species